GGCACAUGGGGACUUCUGGGGGGCUUGCGACAUUUCUAGCCCUGGGUUAUGGCUACGUGGAUGCUCACUCUGUAGCUGUACAUUUUUGUUUUGUGAACUGAACGUAUGUAAUAUUACAAAAUCAAACUGAAAAAAAAAAAAAGCAACUGUGACGCGUCUCUUUCCCACUCUACCACCUACUUUGAAGCAACUAGGCCAUUCUGUGCUGAUUCUUUCUGGAGAGGAGAUGAUAGCGAAAAUGCAAAGAAAAACUAGACUUUUCCCCCUGACAUUUUGCAUUUCAAAACUUAAGCUCUUCAGGUAAUGGAAAAUUGCACAACCACUCUACUGUAUAGACAAAUGUCAAUAGUGGACUUGGAUUAAAGGAAAACCCGGACACAGGCAUUAUGUGGGUAAAUCAAACAGUGUUUAUUUAUCUAAAGUAAACAGAUGGAGGCCAUGAAGUCAGGCCACAGAGUGGAGAGACUAGCAACGUUAUUUGGGACAGACAGAGGUGACCACGCAAUAGGCUCACACUUGUGUAUGAUAAUGUCUGAGCGAGGGUGGCAGCAGACCUUUUUGAAGCUUGACUGCCCCCAUUUGUGCCAGCUUUGUGUCCUGAAGAGAAGUGCAGUUCUAUCUACUAAGACUGGUGCUGUUGUCUUUCUCUACUUCAUCGAGGAGGGUAAUGCCAGGUUUAAAACUGGUGCAGUUGUGCAUAUGGGUGAGUGUGAUUAUGUGCCAGGACCACAUCACCUGAGCCAGAAGCUCUCAUCAGCCUCAGGUGGCACUAUGUGCUACGUGACUCAAAGGACAUAUGGUAUAAUCCAGUCCACUUGGGCACAAAUGCAGUCUCUUUUGCCAUCCUUCACCUCCCCACAUCACAACAGCCCAGUCUCCAUGCCCAGGUGUCUCUGGGAAUCAUGCUAACAGGCCCUAGGACCAGGGAGAGGACAUAGUGCCAAAGUCAUUGCAACAGGAAGAAAAUAUCACGGGCAAAAGCAAGACUUCUGCCACCCCUGUCCUCCAAACUCCAGAUAAGUCUUCCUUCCCCUCCCUAGGCUGGGGUUAUGCAGAGUUGAGAGAUGUGGUGUUACAAGCUGUCAUCUCUCUGCUCCUAAAAGCUCUUCUAUACUCUGCUUUACGAUGGUGAAGCUGUAACUUUGCAACUCAGUUUCCUUGUUGCCAACAGCUCCCUGCCAGGUCCCGCUAAUAAGGAACACUAAAGGGAGACCGGAAGACGGGAGGAUGGAGAAGGGUCAUACUCCUGUGUAUUUGCUGUUGCUGUCAGCGUUACCCUGGCAGCAGAGUUGGGUCCAGUUUCCAGUGUUUCUCUAUAAUCCCGCAAUCGACCCAUCACACCCCAUCAGAGGUAACUUAGACCUUCCCUCUGGGCUCUUGUGGUUCAAUGGCAUUAGCUCAUGCCCCCUCCUCAGAGAUUUGAGUCCCAGCUCUGUGAGACCCCUCUUCCAGGGUGCUGAGUUCUGAUCUCUUCCCUUUGUUCUCCCAGUCCUAGGAGUGGUAGCUGUUUCCUGCAGUUACAUGUUUGCAUGACAUCAGUGUUCUUUUUCUGCCUUUUCAGUCCUUUGGUAGCCGUCCAGCCAAUUCCCUAUAUUAAAUCCCCUCAUUGGCUGCUAAUAGGUACGGGUUUUCUCUUUGGUGUGAUGAAAAUUUUCUGGAAUUAGAUAGUGGUGAUGGUUGCACAACCUUGUGAAUAUGCUAAAAACCACUGAGUUGUACACUUUAAAAGGGGGAAUUUUAUGACAUGUGAAGUACACCUCAUUAAUAUCAUAAAUACUUUAUGUUGAAUUACCUGACUGGAAAUUGAUUAAUAGAGCAUUAAUCAAGGAGAGCAUGGUGUCUAAUUUUAUGUGUCAACUUGGCUGGGCCACAGUACCCAGAUCUGUGGUCAAACGUUAUUCUGAGCGUUUCUGUAGGGGUGUUUUGGAUGAGAUUAACAUUUAAAUCGGUGGACUUGGAGUAAAAUAGAUUGCCCUCCGAAAUGUGGGUAGGCUCAUCCAGUCGGGUGAAGGCCUGCACAGAAUAAAAAGACAAGUCUUCCCCAAGCAAGGGAGAAUUCUCCAGCACACUGCCUUUGGACUUCAUCUGCCAAUCUCUUCCCAGUUCUACAUCAGACAGCCUUCAGACCUGAACUAGAACAUCUGCUCUCCUGGGUCUCCAGCCUGCCAGCCCAACCUGCAGAUUUUGGACUUGCCAGCCUCCAAAAAUAUCAUCCUGUUUCCAUGACAUCCUACUCCAAUCCCCCAAACCCAGAGCAAGCCUGGUCAGGGGUGGGGAGUCACCAUGCAGUUGAAGAGCCCUGACCCAACCAAGUGAUGUCACAGGAGCUGGUCCAGGAUGGAGAUCCUGUCCAUUUGCUGGUGGCCAGAGUCACAGGGUCACAAGACCUCCAGCUGCUUGACUCAAAAGGGUGCCCAGGGCACAGCAGGCACUUGGGCUCUGUGGUUCUGUCUGUGGUGAUUUUGCUUCCUGAGGACAUCUGGCAAUGUCUGGAGACACUUUUAGUUCUUACCACUGGGGAGUGGGUGCUACUGGAAUCCAGGCAGGAGUGGGCAAGGAAGGCUGCUGAACAUACUACAGACCAAGAAUUACCCAGCCCCAAAUCUCCAUAAGGCUGAGAUUUAAAAACCUGCCCGCCAUUAGAUCCCCUGGUCGGUCUUGCAGCAGGAGAGAUGGGGUCCUGAGGGUCCCACCUGUGGAAGUUCCUUGGCCGGUAUGCCCCUGUUCUAGAGGAGAGGCAGGUUUCUCCAAGGCCAGGUGGAGAGAACCAGCCCAGUCCACCCCAGGCACUGCAUUUCCCAGGAGCUGGGAGGAAUUAAAUUAUAAUAUACGGACUAACAUUGAUACAGUGUGUGACAGGUGACAGAGUUCUUCCUCUGUGCUGGGGUUCAGUACAGGCUGGGAUCCUCUGCACUGCCGCCCAUAUUGUUGGGGUCCUGGACAGGUUGGGGGGAAGGGGAAAGGCUACAUCUGCUUCUCAUUCUUUCAUGAAACGAGUUCCUUGUCAUCAACUCCCCAGUCUCCCUUUGAUCACAACUCUGACAGUUCAAACCCUUCAUGUUAUUGCAGGUUCCACUUGUGGGUAGGAGGCCUUCCCCAGCAGAUGUGAAGGCAAACAUACUCUUUCUCCCCAUGCUGUGGUAUCCUGGAGACUGGUGAGCCGGAGCUAGGAUGCCAUGACAUCAGCUCCUAGACCUGAGCUGGCACAGAGCGUGCCCAGGCAGUGUUUGCCGAGAGGAUGAAUAGAAGAGGGUCACCUUCCUUUUGACUCCUUAGGGUGUCUUCAGCCUUCUUUGGAAGAAGAUUUGGAAGUGAGGAAGAGAAAGCUAUGGGUCAGAGUAUCCUCUGGUGAUUGGUUUUCUCACAGGGCUGAGCUUUCUAAAAUUCCCUGAAAUGUUCACCGUCAGUCCUCUAACGGGAGCUCUUUCCUCUGAUUCAUUCAUUCAUUCAAAGUGACAUUGAGUUACCCUUCUUCACAAAGGAGCCCCAGCUUGCCCAGAAGAAGAAAGUUAGGUGUUGGCUCAAAAGGAAUUCAAAGGCGUCAGAUGACUUGGCAGGUGCUCCCUGGCUGUGCACAUGCCACACCUGGAUGAAAAUUACCCCUCCAGAGUAGCAAGUUAAAGAAAGACCUUUGGGUCUAAUGUUUGGAGUGCUGAUUUCCCAUCGUUUAAAAUCCUGGAGUAGACGUGAGCUGCAUUUGAUUGGUCUCCACGUAACAGCUCAGACUCUGUAUGCCGACCCCCUCUGCUCCCUCUCGGCUCCCCUGCCCGAGGCCCUGCCGUCCUGAGGGGGGCUGAACACGAACAGACCAGGAGCUGGAGGAUGGAAUGCGUCCCCUUCUAGCAAUGCCUUUUGGAAAAUGCAGAGUGGAGCACGAGCCAGAGUAGUUGUGUAUGAGGAAAGCAAUUGAGUGGCUCACAGAAUCCCGAGGAAGAAGAACACUCGGACCUUCUAAAGACACAGGGACAAAAGGAAGAACCACAAGCAAAAUCACUCCCCAGGGCUUCCCUGGUGGCGCAGUGGUUGAGAGUCCGCCUGCCGAUUCAGGGGACACGGGUUCGUGCCCUGGUCCGGGAAGAUCCCACAUGCCGCAGAGCGGCUGGGCCCGUGAGCCAUGGCCGCUGAGCCUGCGAGUCCGGAGCCUGUGCUCCGCAACGGGAGAGGCCGUAGCGGUGAGAGGCCUGCGUACCGCAAAAAAAAUCACUCCCCAGAACUACUGCUGACGCCCUGCUGGCUCCUGAGUGUCACCCAGUGGCACUGCGGCUGUACAGCUGGUGGACCCAAGUUGCUGCCCAGACCAGAAUCAGGGAGACCUGAUUCAUAGACCUGGCAGACCUCUGCUGGGAGACUUAGGGGGGGUGACAUGAGUCCUCAAAGGACCCACCAGCUGGCUAGGUGGGAUCAGCUAGAGACAGCUUUAGGAUUCUGGUUUAUUGCUGGAAAUAAAAGAGACAAUGAUGGUCAACUCUUGUGCUGGUUGGAUCCCACGUGUAGACAAGGAAUUUCAAACUCUAAUUUUAC